GACGAACGCUGGCGGCGUGCCUAACACAUGCAAGUCGAGCGAGGAACUUCGGUUCCUAGCGGCGGACGGGUGAGUAACACGUGGGCAACCUGCCUUGUAGAGGGGGAUAGCCUUCCGAAAGGAAGAUUAAUACCGCAUAACAUCACGAAAUCGCAUGGUUUUGUGAUCAAGGGAGCAAUCCACUACAAGAUGGGCCCGCGGCGCAUUAGCUAGUUGGUGAGGUAACGGCUCACCAAGGCGACGAUGCGUAGCCGACCUGAGAGGGUGAUCGGCCACAUUGGGACUGAGAAACGGUCCAGACCCCUACGGGAGGCAGCAGUGGGGAAUAUUGCACAAUGGGGGAAACCCUGAUGCAGCAACGCCGCGUGAGUGAUGAAGGCCUUCGGGUUGUAAAGCUCUGUCUUCAGGGACGAUAAUGACGGUACCUGAGGAGGAAGCCACGGCUAACUACGUGCCAGCAGCCGCCGUAACAC
rnacentral:rRNA from 1 species